UACGGAAGGUGCAAGCGUUGUUCGGAAUGACUGGGCGUAAAAAGCACGUAGGUUGGUUUAUAAGUCAGAUGUGAAAACCCAGGGCUCAACCCUGGACUAGCAUUUGAAACUGUAGAUCUUGAAUGCCUGAGGGGUUAGUGGAAUUCCCGGUGUAGGAGUGAAAUCCGUAGAUAUCGGGAGGAACACCAGUGGCGAAGGCGGCUAACUGGCAGAGCAUUGACGCUGAGGUGCGAAAGCGUGGGUAGCAAACAGG
rnacentral:rRNA from 1 species